rnacentral:lncRNA from 1 species
ACGCAGGCUGCCCUUUCUUUCUCAUAGCCUCUGAGAUUUGUCUCAUGAUGUUCCUUCAGCUAGGGAUGCCCUUCCCCACUUUCUCUACCUAAAAAGCUGACACCCAUCCUCAUGGCCUUCCUGACGUGCCACCUCUGUGAUUGUCUUGGAGUAGCCCUUGGCUCAGGCAGGAUUAAGCUACCUCCUUUGCGUUCCUACAUCAUUUUUUUAACAGGCUGAGUAGUAUUAAGGACCACUGAUGCCUCUUCUUUCUCCCCCUUUGUCCACAAGACUCCAACUGCCUUGUGUCUAUCUCCCAAAAGUGCACCUUGCAGUGCCCAUAGUAGGUGCUUAUGGGUUAAGGAUCUGGCAUUUCCAUGAGCUGUGGUGUGGCUCACACAGACACAGUUCAGAUCCCGCGUUGCUGCGGCUCUGGCAUAGGCUGGUGGCUACAGCUCCGAUUGGACCCCUAGCCUGGGAAUCUCCAUAUGCNAAAAAAAAAAAAAAAAAAAAAAAAAAAAAAUCACAAAGGUGAGCCCUUACUCCAUCACUGACCAACCCCACCCCAUUAAGGUUUAGCCGCACCUGGUCAGUGUUACAAGAUAUGCUAUAUACCCUGCCCCAGACCUACUUCCUCAGACCUUUGGGGUAGAGUAGGCAUUUGUAACAACUGCCCAAAAUUUGACAGUCACUUUUCUGAUUAUGGAUCAGAUUAACUGAGCAUAUUAGUUGCCAGUCACCCUUGUAGGUGCUGAGGAUGCAAAGGUAGCAGCAUGGACCUGGGCCUCCCAGGGGGGGUGCGUCACAUCAGUAGCAUCAGUGAAGAGCUCAAAGGGGUACUGACUUUCCACUCCUUUCAGGGCGGAACACCUUCAAAGGAUUCCAACAGUGGCUCCCUAAUAGCAAAUGUAAUGGGGAUGUGGUGGGAUCAGGCUUGACAAAGAGGAUUCCCAGGUCAUCCUUGUUACUCCAGGAGUCGCCUCCUGGGAUGAGGCAUGGGAGGCCUUGGGUGAUAGGAAGAAAGUGGCUGGCACCUCCACUUUUCCCAUUAUUUUCCCCUAUUCUUGCCUUUCUGAACCCACAAGCUCUCUUAAUGCCCAGAAUUAAACUUUCUGUAAGAGGCAAAGUGUUUCUGGCUAGAUCAGGCAGGGAAAGGCCUUGACCUAGGGACUUCUGGCCUAUCCAGCUGUGGGUUGUAGUUGCCUCCUACAGCUCGGCCUCAGGGCCCUGAGCAGCCUCACUCAGAAAAGUUACUCGCCCUUGUUGUACUGCUUCUUGAAAAUAUAUUUUCCUAUUUUCAGUAUUCCUAACACCAUUUUAUUAUUUCCAGACCCAAGACUGCUGGCAAGACUUGGGUGACCUGGCAUGGUGGCAGUUGAGAACCUGGCCUUUUUUAGUUCGUUUGUCACCUCUCAAACUAUUCUACAUCUCUUUUACUGCACCUCUCUGUGCUAAAGGACUAAUUAGAUAUCGAGAUAAAAAGAGUCCCUGUUACUACUGUCAAGGAACUCCUAGGCCAGGAGUGACACUAGACAGAAACAAGAAAAAAUGAAAUAAAUAUGCAAAAAUAAAGCAUUCAGAUUAUGCAGACAGUUUCAAUAGAUGCAUCAUUAAAUGUUAGUAGUAGGCCCUGGCCCAGUUUUGCAGGUGACUCUCAAACAGGAAGCUGGUGUACCCACAAGCCACAGAUCUAUCUAAAAAAGUGAUUACAGGAGUUCCCAUCGUGGCUCAGCAGAAACAAAUCUGACUAGCAUCUUCGAGGAUGCAGGUUCAACCCCUGGCCUUGCUCAGUUGGUCAAGGAUCUAGCAUUGCGUGAGCUUCGGUAUAGGUCGCGGACGAGGCUUGGAUCUGACAUUGCUGUGCCUGUGGCAUAGGUCAGCAGCUACAGAUCCGAUUCAGCCCCUAGCCUGGGAACCUCCAUAUGCUGAGGGUGUGGCCCUAAAAAGCAAAUAAAGUAAAAGUGAUUGCAGUGAAAUCGUCUUUAAUGGCAUGAACAAUGUACAAGGGAUGUGGCCUUCAUCAAGUCUCUGGGCGUGUGCAGAUUUUCUCUCUGAUGGCGGAAGCUGAUGUUAGUAAAUUCAACGGAAGACUGACUUUUAGUAGACAUAUCCCUGGCUCUGAAGUUUUCCCCUCUUAGGUUAUUCUCUUGGCCAAAAUGAAAUGAUCUCUCACGUAAAGUGAAUCAGUGUCAUCAUUCUUUUUUCCCCAAAUAUUUACUGCGUGCAUGGAGCCUGUGUACCUUGGCUGUCCUGUACCAUAUAUAAUAUUUUAAACAUCUUUUUCCACUUUAACCUGUUAACGUUCACAACUGUUCACUUGGGUGUACUGGGCAACAGGCUAGGAGCUAAGGGUGUGUAAUUACCCCCCGAGUCCUCACCAUACUGAAGUAGCAUGUGCCAGCAACAUUUUACAGAUGAGACAGUUGAAGCCCAGAAAAGUCACUUCCCCUGCGGUCACACAGCUAACUGAGAACAGAAACAGAAUUUGAAUUAAGGAUCAUGUGACCCCAACCAGCGGCAUCCAUCACCUCACUGAAUACUGCUUCCCUGUGAAUAUGAACAAUGAAUGGGACACAUAUCAUAAAAUAGGGGCCCUGGAUAGGACUCGAGAGGUCAUCUGGGCCUGUCCCUUAAUUCCUCCUGUAAGGAAAUUGGGGGCCAGAGUUAUGGAAGAUAAUUAAGUCAGGGGAACUCCACCUAAAAUUCAUAUUUAAGUGCCUUUUAGGAUUCUCCUUCGCAUUUAACAAUAACCCUAUCUUAAUCAUCUCUUUGAGUGAUGAAAAAAAUGCAUCUGUGAGAAUAAUGAUUUUUUUUAAUGUUUUUCUGAUAAUGCUAUCUAUAGUUCAUUAGCUUUUAUUUCCCAGGUUGUUCACAUUCUUUGCUUUAGAUGAUGUAAGCCAAGUUUCAAACUUUUAUGUAUAGAGAGAUCACCCAAGAUUUAGCAUGCAUCACAUGGGGCCUGGAGGCUCUGUGGGUCUAACCACCUUCCAGGUGAUGCUUCUGGUUGGUGGACUAUGCUUUAAGUGGGAUGGAUUCGAGCAGGGUUUGCAAAAACCUUUUCAGCUUCUUUUCUUUGUAGGACGUAUCUCCAGGAAUCCAGGUCCCUGGUAAGUGGUGCUGUAGCCCACUAAGAGCUAGCCAGGUAUUGGUUAAGAUAAUUUCCUUAGGUACUUACAGAGGCAUCUGUCCUCCUGAACUUUUUGGAGGGAGCUUUUUAGGGCCACACCUGUGGCAUAUGGCGGUUCCCAGGCUAGGGGUCAAAUCGGAGCUACAGCUGCCAGCCACAGCCACUGCCACAGCCACAGCAACAUAGGAUUCAAGCUGCGUCUACAACCUCUACCCCAGCUCACGGCAAUGCCAUAUCCCUAACCCACUGAGCAAGGUCAGGGAUCAAACCUGCAUCCUCAUGGAUGCUAGUCAGAUUCGUUAACCGCUGAGUCACGAUGGGAACUCCAUGUCCUCCUGAACUUUUCUCCUGAGCUUAGCCUGAAGUACCAUCUCUCUAGGUGUGGGGUUUUAGGGAGAAGGCACAUUUAGAGGCUGGAAAGUCAGGGUUGAGGAUUGCAAGAUGCAGGAGCAUUGAGAAUAUCUUUGGUGCAGAGUUGUGUUCGCAGCAUCAAGCAGAGUUGGGGUGAUGCCAGAAGUGAUCUGUUUAGGCUAAUGACAAAGAGCAAGGUUGCCAGGCAACCCUUGGUUCAAGUAUCAACUUCACCACUAGUCAACCGUGAGUCUUUGGUGCAAGUCACUACCCUCAGACUUAGUUUGCUUUUCUGCAGGUGGGGUUGCAACCAUUAUUUACCUCAUGGUGCUUCAUUAAUAAUGCCUGUGUAUAGCACAUGCUGUGUGGUCUGUUCACCUCUUGGGACCAUAGGAACUAUCUCUUGACUAAGAGGAUAAAAGUGCUUUAAAGUGUCUCAGACUUCAAUUGAGCUAAAAAAGUCUCUCUUGUGGUGAUUCUCCAGGAGCUGCUUUAAUGAGUAGAUAAAAAUGAUUUGUAAAUAGCACGUUACACUUUUGCAUGUAAAUGGUGUUUAUCUUCCUGGAAAUCAUUUAAGUAGAAUAGCUGGUCCAACUUAUUGGUCUACCUGGCUUUUUCUAAUUCCUCAGAUGAAAAGGGGUGUUACCCAGUUUUGCAGGGCUUUGGGGUGGUUUUUUCAUCCUUUUUUUUCGAAAGGCUGCACCUACGACCUAUGGAGUUUCUAGCUGGGGGUCCUAUUAGAGCUACAGCUGUCAGCCUACACCACAGCCACACAACUCAGGAUCUGAGCUGCAUCAGCGACCUAUACCACAGCUCAUGGCAAUGCUGGAUCCUUUAACCCAAUGAGUGAGGCCAGGGGUUGAACCCAUGUCCUCAAGGAUGCUAAUCGGAUUCGUAACCCACUGAGGCACAACAGGAACUCCCAUUGACCAGUUUUAUGUAGAAGAUCUUGAGAUGUAUUUCCCCUUACUCAUUGUUAAGUUGAAGACACACAGGAGUGACAUAGAGCUGGAUUGGGGACUUUUGGUCUUCAGUAACACUGAGUUCUCCUGAUAUCUUACACUCAUCAUCUAUUUUACCAACCCAGAAGGAUCCCUUCCCACUUCUGCCUCAACCAUCACAGCUUCUGGAUUGGCCAAGUCCAAGUAGAAACAGCUCACAGAAGCUGUGGCCUUAAGGCCAGAGAGACUGGCACUGAAUAGGCUUUCUCCUCAGAGGAUGGAGAUAGGGGUUUCUCAGCUCUGUGGAACUUUCAAAGACGCCUUGGAAUUUUUACUCUCUUGCCCCACUGGUGCCUCUUAGUUCUAAAUACUUGCUCCUCUGUUCCUCUUCAGCUGCUGCUGCGGGUGAUGACAGCAGCCAUUGCUUGUGAGAUGCCAGGUGCUGGGUGAGUCCUCUGCACGCAUUAGCUCCUGUGGUCUAAGACACGGGGCCAUGGGCUGGAGACCAUGGUUUUCCGAAAGCAGAAGUGAGGGUCAGAAGAAUCAGGCUUGUCACACAGCUGCUUGGUGGCAGAGCUGACACUUGAACUCAAAUUGGUCACUUUCAAAGACCAUCCUCUUAAUCCCUCUGCUCUCUUGCCUCCCUACCACAGGGAAAUUAUCUUCCUUUUGAUGUCCAUGCCUCAGAAAAUGAGGACAAAUACAGAUGGUUUCUUCUUGACUUAUGUUCCUCUUAUCACAUUUCAGGGGUAUCGUUAGUGCCGGGGUUCUGGUGGUAUCUAACCCUGCCUGGCAUCUCUCCUUUGCCUUCCUGGCGGUAUGGCCAAAUGGAUGGGAGAGGAGACAGUGAUGGACAAGGGCAGUGGGUGGACCCAAGGAGGGGCUGGAUAACCUAAGAAAGGCUGAGAGAGGGUUUGCUAUAAGAUGUGCUCUCUGUGAGCACCAUGCUGACUGUGACUGCUGGGAUUUACCCAGGGGUAUCAUCAUCCAAAAGGAAGAUCAUGGGCACCAGAGCCAUAGAAACCAGGAAAAGGACCCAGGCCUGCUACUUGCAAAAAGGCUCGCUGAGCCUCAAUUUCCUAAUUUGUCAGUGGGGAUAAUGAUACCAACUUGGCAAGUUUGCUGUAAGGAAUACAAAACUAUAUGCAAACCCCUUUUCAUAUAAUAGAUGCUCAAUAAAAGGGAGCCAUUAUUUACUUUCAUUAUAUCAGAGGGAAAACUCCUAGUGCAACAGUUCAGACUCAACCUUUUGCAUCACCAUGUUCUCAGCACCAGCUGUAUACUAUGGGAGGGGGACGCAGAAUGUAAAGGAUGUGAAAAUAAUUCCUGAUCCCUUGGUUCUGUGAUUUCGCACAGCUUUGGCUGUAUAGUCAAUGUGUGUAUUUCUCUGUCAGCUCUCUUCCCUACUUCCUCCCCGCUCCCAGACCAAAAAAAAAAAAAAAA